rnacentral:rRNA from 1 species
ACGUAGGGGGCAAGCGUUAUCCGGAUUUACUGGGUGUAAAGGGAGCGUAGGCGGCGGAGCAAGUCAGAAGUGAAAGCCCGGGGCUCAACCUCGGGACGGCUUUUGAAACUGCCCUGCUUGAUUUCAGGAGAGGUAAGCGGAAUUCCUAGUGUAGCGGUGAAAUGCGUAGAUAUUAGGAGGAACACCAGUGGCGAAGGCGGCUUACUGGACUGACAAUGACGCUGAGGCUCGAAAGCGUGGGGAGCAAACAG